GCUGAGCGCGGACAAGCUGCAGCUGCUGUCUGUCCGUCCGGCUCGCCGGCAGUUUGGCAGGGCCCGAGACUAGGUCUUCCCGCCUGCCUUCCCGCCCCCUUCCCCUAGGCGGGAAGGGCGGUUAUCCUGGGCGGGCGGAUUCCCGUCUGAGUAGCUGGGACAGAUGCGUUUCCGUGGCGCGGCUCCCGGGUUAUUACCCCUCCCUAAUGGGGAAAUGGACGGAGACCGGGGGAGGGGGAGGAGCCAACCCCACCCCACCCCCACUCUCCGCUUCCCCGCCCAAGGUGGCCCGAGGCCGGCGGCAGAACCAGGAGCGACGAGGGCCAUCUCCAUCCCCAGGCAGUCCCGGAGUGUGGAGUGGGCAUGGGGACCUGGCGGGAAAUAGUGUCGAUUAGCACCCCCCAGUCCCGGAUGCCAGGGCCCAGUCGUUGCGAGCAGGUGGGCUCGGCGCGGUCUCUGCGGGAGCGACAGUUGCGAGAAGAUGCCUGCAGGAAGUGUCGUCCCGCCGGUCUCUAGUCCCCGGUCUCCGCGGCGGGAACACAGGCUCUGGCGGGAGCGAGGGAACGAGGAGGCCCACGACAGGUGCUGUCUGUCCGCUGGUCUGACAGGCCGGGGCGGGAGUGCGGCCCGGCUCGGUGCUGCUUUCCCCUCCCCCUCAGCUGGACGCGGACUCUGACACUAGUUAGCGUGAGCAAUCGACUAAUUUUAUCCGGCUGGGGCUCAGCAGGAAACCAACGCCGAGGCGCGGGUAGUUCUUCCGGGAGACUCUGGCCCCCGGGAGGACAGUCGUGGGGAGAGGAAGGGGGGUUGGGGGUGGGAUUCCUGCCGCCUCCGGUUCACUGGGGGCGGGUGGCCCCUGCUCUGCCUCACAGAGGACCGAAUUUUGGCGCUAAGGUCGGUGCUGUCUGGGCACUGGCGCCUAGGGAAGAAAAGGGUAUCUUGGAAGUUAGGUAGUACAAACUCUUUUGUGUUCUUCUCUUUGUUUUUUCUACUUAUGUUCCUUUCAUUCCUGAAGUCCCCGGAUUCUAGCAGAGUGUCUGACACACAGGUCUCUAGAAAAUACUGCUUAAGUAACGUGGAAACCAGGCAUGGAACUUUGCGCCUGGUGACCGCUAGAGAGAGCUGAAAGGCAGGAAUCAAAGGAACUUUGAAGCACAGUCUCCUGAACCCCUACAGUAGUUCCAAUCCCUUUCCUUGUGACCCUGCAGUCUCUGCUGCAUUUCAGUUUAUUAGAAUUUCUGAACUUGCUUCAAGGGCUCUUAUUCUACCCGUCACCCACCCUGUCUAGGCGCCAGCUAUGAGACACUAGGGAUUUGUAAUCCUUGUCAGCUGGCCUGCACUGCUACUGUGGAGAAGUGGCAGGGAGCUGCUGCUGGCUGCCUUUUCAGACAUGAAAAGUCCCUGGAGGAGAGCAUAUGCUCAUAAAAAUUAUGGGAUUCCACAGCUUUGAAAUCUAAUAAUCCUGAAUGAUCACAGACUGGGCCCUUGGGGCAGCUGGGGAAGGGGCUGGGGGAGGGGACACACUUUAAGUGGGAGAGCCUGGGUCCCUGCAGUGGGACACAGUAAUUAGCCUCAGUGAAAGGAGAUGAGGAAGCCAGCCUGAGGGUGUCUGCACUGAGUCUGAGGAGAAGCAACAAUAGACAAGAGCUGGCUGGUAAACCACUUUCUUCCAAUGUCAACCAGUCCCUUCUCUUUGCCCCUGUCCUGCCCAGUGUGUGGCCAUUUGGAGAUGGACUUUUUUGUACCUCUUAGUUUGCUAGGGGUGGAGGGACAGUAGGUGAAACCAGGUCUCCAAGCAAGAUUGCAUGAAGGUCUGGAGUGACUGGGAGACCAAUAACAAAAGUAUGUGUCAGUUUCAGGUGAAAGUAAUCAUGAAGAGAUGGUGUAUGCUAAAAGUUAGACUUUGCUAAGCUUUCAUUUUUGCUCAGAGCUGGUCCUGCUGACAUCCUUAUGGAAGUGGGUUUGGUACACAGUUGUUGAAUGAAGUGGGCAAGUCAUUCAUUUAUCCCUCCUAGGGCCAGUUUCCUUAUCUGUAAAACCAGGUUUUUAAACUGUACUGGAAGUCAAUGACAUGAGUUGAAGUCUCAUCUUGCUCUGUCACUGAUGAACUGUAUGAACUUGCUGCAGUCUCUUGCUACCUCUAGGACUCAGUUUCCCCACUUAAAUUCAAUGCAGAGUAUGAACAAGGGAGACUCUAAGGUUACUCCCAGCUUUGUCAUUCUUAUAGGUCUGUCUCUUCUGUCAUCCUCAAUUCCAGGCUCUGUCACUGCCAGGCUGUGUCACCCAGCCAUGUAAGUCCCUUUAGGUCCCCCAUAAAUAACAUAAGGGAGAGGGAAGGAGAACUGAAUUGGAUUAUUGUUAAUUGCCAGUUUUCAAUAUGGCACACUUGUAGCAAGGUUAUGGCCUUGGUGGGGCCUCCAUUCAACUCAGCAAGUAACCAUAUUCUCAUUUUGUAAAGUAAUCACUUUUCUGUUUCAGAUCUUGUUUAAAAAUCCAAUCUCAAACAGUUGACCAACUCCAAACCCCUAUAUAGCUCUUUUUCUAAUUUCUUCUCUCACAGAGAGCAUAGAACCUGGCAGAAAUCUGAUUUGAAAUGAGACUUCAGCUCUGAAGUGAAACUUCCUGCUAUUAGUCAGGUUAAGACUAUUUCUCCCUUGUAGGCAGCAUACAUACCCAAACCAAAUUUUUAGAUCUGUUUAUUUUGUUCCAAACUCCUUGAGGAUUUAAAUGUCCCAUGUCUUGAGCUCUGAAAUUUUGUUCAUUCUAGAUUUAACUGUGGUGCAUAAGAGGCUGCAUCCUACUCUAAAUAUUAAUACUGUCCUGCUUUUGCCAAUCAACAUUCUCUCCAAAAGCACACAAGCUCACAUGUGCACAUCCACAUGUGUGGAAGAAGUAAAUUGAUACCCCACCAUGUUAUGUGACAUCUGAAUGGGCAGAUUUGGGACCUGUGAAUGUCUUUCCUUCAUCUGGAGAGAAGUAGGUGACCACCUGAUUCUUAACAUCUGUCUACACCUUGAGCAACAAGAGAGGUCCUGCAAAGCCACCCUCUGGUCACUCGGUGAGAGUGAGGCAGGGAGGAAUGGAAGUAGGGGCAUUGUUGCUUCAGUAAUUUUAGUGGUCUCUCCUGGGAGUUAUAGGGCUCCUAGGGCCCAGCUUCUCCUGUUCCACUACUGUUAGAACUGACAGGAUAGUAAUUAGGCCCUUUCUAGGGCCCCUUCCUACCCACAGAGCCAAGAACCAGUGGGUUUUCCUUUGGGGAGCUGAUAAGAGCUGGACUGGGACCAGCGGAGGGGGCUCAGGACUUUGGCCUUGAAUGAAAUCAUCAGAGGCCAACCAUGCCCCAGCUGCCUGUUUGUAACGGAAAAUCAUGGGUGGGAACUAUUGUCUUCUUUGGAGCCCCUCAGGACAACCUUAUCCUCCUGGCCCUAGGAUGACCCUGGCUUAGGGUGGCAAGUUACUGUUGGCUCCAAGUGACAGCCAGGAAUGCCUGGCAAAAAGAUGAUGAAAGGGUGGGUGACAGGAACACAAUAGACAAAGGCUCAGAGAGGGGAAAAACGGACACAAAGAGGCAGAGGGAGGAGAGAGGCUGAGCUCCUAAUGAGGUGAGCUGUGCUAACUGAACACAGCCUGGCAGUGCCUUCUGCCCCUAACCAGGGACACUGGGAAUGUUCUUCAGUAAGAUUGUUGCCAGAGCCUGGGCAUAAGGAAGCAUCAAUUACCUACUUAAGAGGGAUCAAAGUGGUUCAGAGUCUACCUUUCAUGGCACCUUUAAGGCCCUUUAAGCAAAGUGGCCUAGGAUGCCCAGCAUGGGAGACACAUUGGGUGGUAAAGGCUAGGAUGGCUUCCCCUUUCCAGAAGAAAUUGUCCAACCCCAUGUGUAACUGCUGCCUGUACCUUUUUGGAAUCUAGGCUGGGAAUUGUUUUUUUUGUUUUUUUUUUUGUUUGUUUGUUUUUCUUUUUCUUAAAUAGUCCCUUUCCUGGCCUGGCCUAGGUGGAAAUAUAGACCUGUCAUGAAAACUGAGAGAUGGAGCUGGUCCACUAUGUCAAUAACUACUGCCCCUCCUCCUACCAUGACAGCUCCUGUCAUCAGUCCUCCUCUGCCUGCUGAGAUGAAAGGAGUUUCUUCACAUUUUGCAAUGUGGAUACAAGAAUGGGGAGCUGGGAGGGCCUCAAGGUUAAUGCCUUGGACUGUAAAAUCUGUAAAAAUCAGUGACUGGAACAUGGAACACUGGUAGUUAAGGUUUCUUCCCUAUGUGAUAUUCUACUCUUCCAGUAUAGGAUUAUAUAGCUUGAGCCAAAAAGUGAGAUGUGGCUCAGCCUGAGAUGAGUGGGACUGAUGCUAACGUUAGGGGUGGACUGGGCCAAGCUGAGGCUGAUUGGCCCAAGUUCCGGGUCCCCCUUUUCUCCAGGCACCUAUGUGUCUAUGACAGUCAUACAAUGAAAUAGAGGGGAAAGAGAAUGGAGAGAAGUCAGUAGAGGAAAAAAAGAGGGGAAGAGGGGGGCAGACUGUUAACCAACAAUAUGAUAAGGGCAUUGCCUAUAUCCAGUUCUUGGGAAGACAUAGCCAUCAGAAACUCUAAGGCUAUCCAAGGCUACUUGUCUAAUUUUGCCUCCCUGCCCCUCCACCCAGUGGCUCCCAAAUAUGGAUGGCAAUGACCUCCUCAGCAAACAGAGACUUGGGCCUACCCUAUUAGGCCCCUGGGGACACAGUAGCACCUUUGGCAGUUGAUUAUAGUGGC